CCUACGGGAGGCAGCAGUAGGGAAUAUUGCUCAAUGGGGGAAACCCUGAAGCAGCAACGCCGCGUGGAGGAUGAAGGUUUUCGGAUUGUAAACUCCUUUUGUUAGAGAAGAUAAUGACGGUAUCUAACGAAUAAGCACCGGCUAACUCCGUGCCAGCAGCCGCGGUAAUACGGAGGGUGCAAGCGUUACUCGGAAUCACUGGGCGUAAAGAGCGCGUAGGCGGGAUAGCAAAUCAGAUGUGAAAUCCUAGGGCUUAACCAUAGAACUGCAUUUGAGACUGUUAUUCUAGAGUAUGGGAGAGGUAGGUGGAAUUCUUGGUGUAGGGGUAAAAUCCGUAGAGAUCAAGAGGAAUACUCAUUGCGAAGGCGACCUGCUAGAACAUAACUGACGCUGAUGCGCGAAAGCGUGGGGAGCAAACAGGAUUAGAUACCCCUGUAGUC
rnacentral:rRNA from 1 species